rnacentral:rRNA from 1 species
UGGGGAAUAUUGGACAAUGGGCGAAAGCCUGAUCCAGCAAUACCGCGUGUGUGAAGAAGGCCUUAGGGUUGUAAAGCACUUUCAAUUGGAAGGAAAAAUUCGUGGCUAAUAUCUACGAACUUGACAUUACCUUUAGAAGAAGCACCGGCUAACUCCGUGCCAGCAGCCGCGGUAAUACGGAGGGUGCAAGCGUUAAUCGGAAUUACUGGGCGUAAAGCGUGCGUAGGCGGCUCGUUAAGUCAGAUGUGAAAGCCCUGGGCUCAACCUGGGAACUGCAUUUGAAACUGGCGAGCUAGAGUUUGAGAGAGGUAAGUGGAAUUUCAGG